AACGAACGCUGGCGGCGCGCCUAAUACAUGCAAGUCGAGCGAGAAGGUGUAGUAAUACACUUGUAAAGCGGCGAACGGGUGAGGAAUGCAUGGGUAACCUACCCUCGAGUGGGGAAUAACUAGCCGAAAGGUUAGCUAAUACCGCAUACGUUUCCGGAACUUCGGUUUCGGAAAGAAAGCAAUACCGUGGGUAUUGCGCUCCUGGAUGGGCUCAUGUCCUAUCAGCUUGUUGGUGAGGUAACGGCUCACCAAGGCUUCGACGGGUAGCUGGUCUGAGAGGACGAUCAGCCACACUGGCACUGCGACACGGGCCAGACUCCUACGGGAGGCAGCAGUAAGGAAUAUUGCGCAAUGGACGAAAGUCUGACGCAGCGACGCCGCGUGGGGGGAUGAAGGUCUUCGGAUUGUAAACCCCUUUCGGGAGGGAAGAUGGAGUGGGUAACCACUUGGACGGUACCUCCAGAAGCAGCCACGGCUAACUUCGUGCCAGCAGCCGCGGU
rnacentral:rRNA from 1 species